GUUGUCCUCCUCACCUUCACCCAAAUCUUUAAUUCACGGAGCUGCAUCCCCUUCUUUGGUUUCAGAUGUUCCUGGUCCGCCGGGACAGCAGCUCGAAGCAGCUGGUGCUCUGUGUCCACUUUCCUUCUCUGAACGAAAGCUCGGCCGAGGUGCUCGAAUACACCAUUAAGGAAGAAAAGUCGACAUUCCCCUUUUCAGCCUCCAACACUGGAGUUGGGCCAGGAAAAAAAUACAUCAUGAGAUAAUUUAACUCCAAGAACUUUAUUGUAAAACUUCAGUGGUGAAUUUCUUUUAAAAAAAAAAAGAGAUCUUGAAUCAUA
rnacentral:sRNA from 1 species